CUGGCUGAGGGGCUCCCAAGUAUGGUCAAACAUGUUUUACCAGUGCAUUGACUAUGCAUUACCCAACUUUUCACGAACCACUCACUUGUGAGCAACUCCAAAAAACCCAGGGAGUAGCCACCAACUUUCGGUACAAAACUUAAUAUUUUCUCUGGUAAGCGAUUACACAGUCUCCUAAGGCACAUAUCUCACAAUUCCCCACACCUC
rnacentral:lncRNA from 1 species